ACGAACGCUGGCGGCGUGCCUAAUACAUGCAAGUAGAACGCUGAAGAGAGGAGCUUGCUCUUCUUGGAUGAGUUGCGAACGGGUGAGUAACGCGUAGGUAACCUGCCUUGUAGCGGGGGAUAACUAUUGGAAACGAUAGCUAAUACCGCAUAACAAUGGAUGACACAUGUCAUUUAUUUGAAAGGGGCAAUUGCUCCACUACAAGAUGGACCUGCGUUGUAUUAGCUAGUAGGUGAGGUAAUGGCUCACCUAGGCGACGAUACAUAGCCGACCUGAGAGGGUGAUCGGCCACACUGGGACUGAGACACGGCCCAGACUCCUACGGGAGGCAGCAGUAGGGAAUCUUCGGCAAUGGGGGCAACCCUGACCGAGCAACGCCGCGUGAGUGAAGAAGGUUUUCGGAUCGUAAAGUUCUGUUGUAAGUCAAGAACGGGUGUGAGAGUGGAAAGUUCACACUGUGACGGUAGCUUACCAGAAAGGGACGGCUAACUACGUG
rnacentral:rRNA from 1 species